rnacentral:lncRNA from 1 species
AUGUGGGACUAUGUAUUCCUCUAUCAUUUUUACAUCAACUAUUGCAGAACUAGGAUGCAACUCUGUAGGAGCAAUAGUGGGGAAUUGGUCAACUCUUGGUUUUUGUUCAAGUAAAGAGACUUCUGUUGGCAACAAGAACUUUCAUGCAUAACCAAUAUGAUCAACAUUGCUAUGAAAAGGGAACACAGCAAACAAGGUCCGAUAAAACUUCACAUUAUACUCACAGAUCCUGAAGCUCGAGAUUUUUUCUUAGGAUUCUCAGAAAAAAUGGCAAUGCUUUUAAUUUCAGUGUCUGUUUCCGGUUGAGUCAUCUCAGAUUUCCUUUUUGGUUGUGAUUUUGAAUAGAGAAGAAACGGCAUUGGAUGGAUGUCCUUCAGUGUGUCCCAAAUUAUCGGAGAUUUCUUGGCUCAAGCAAGCAACCUCUUCCAUUACAUUGUCAGAAAUAACCUUACUGGAGAAGCUUGGAUUCUGCUCCUCCAUCAUACAGAAGUCCAUGGGCAUGACAUUGUUAUUAUCAAUCAAAAUCGAACUAUGGACGGCGAGAUCAUGGUGAUUGGUCUGACAUCUUAAAAGUACGCGCGAAUUGACAGUAUAUACGUGAUGUCGAUCUUGUCCCCUUUGAUGCUUCU